UACAGAGGGUGCAAGCGUUGCUCGGAAUGACUGGGCGUAAAGGGCGUGUAGGCGGGAAGGCGAGUCAGAUGUGAAAUCCCUGGGCUCAACCCAGGAACUGCAUUUGAAACUCCCUUUCUUGAGUGUCGGAGAGGAAAGUGGAAUUCCUGGUGUAGAGGUGAAAUUCGUAGAUAUCAGGAGGAACACCGGUGGCGAAGGCGGCUGUCUGGACGACAACUGACGCUGAGACGCGAAAGCGUGGGGAGCAAACAGG
rnacentral:rRNA from 1 species